rnacentral:tmRNA from 1 species
GGGGGUGAUUGGACUUGACAGCAAGGUGAGCGAGCAAGGCGCAAGCGAGGUGGGUCGGCCUCCUCUCAAAAGGUCGACAAAAAAAAAGUGCCAACACUUCGUACGCGCUUGCUGCCUAAGAUUUAGGCAGCCGGGGGAAGGGAAGCCCCGCCUGAGGCUGAACUUCCCACCGUGGGGAAUAUCAGGCUAUGGAGGUUGGGUGGUCCCCCCAGCCUCCGAAAUGGAUGGGGACCUGUGGGAAAGGGGCGCGGUGUCCCUGCCGCACUUUCCCGAGCGUACUCAGGGACUAAGCUUGUAGGGCCUUGCUUGGGAGCCUUGACUGGACGUGGGUUCGAGUCCCACCACCUCCACUU